rnacentral:lncRNA from 1 species
GGCCACUCUCAACAUUACUUUCUAAAUUAAUAAAUCUCUUUUUGUUUUUAAGCUAAGUUUUGGAGUCAUUGCAUGAUUGCAAAAGGCAUCCUUCCCGAACCCCAAAAGGCUAUCCUUCCCUGCUGAUAACAGUAUGAGACUGCAGCAAUGGUAAAAGGCUAUCUUAAAAGAAGAUCAAGGAGUCUAUCCCUUCCCGGCUCUCCAAAAAAUCUCUUUAGAUGACUUCCUCCCUUGAAGCAAUAUGUACUUCCUACCA